AACCCAUAAUCAAUAAAACAGUAAAAUAUGCACACGAAACUAUGAAAUGAAAACAUCAAACCUCAUACUGCAUUUAAAACCGUAAAAUAGGCCAAACAAUAGCUAACCGACAAACACACCAGACUCGGGCUCCAUUAGCGACCUUAAACAAUUUCACACAUCUGUUGAUUCAUGAAAUACCGUUUUAUCAUUUAUUCAACUUUAAUACCGUGAUAGGGAAUAGGGUGAGGGAUCCUUACUUGGUUCGGGGUCCGAAUACGGCUUUACAGUGCGCUUACAGGCUGUCCCUAAUUUUUCCUGAAUUUUU
rnacentral:lncRNA from 1 species